AGAAAGGUUGUUAGGCCUACAUUAAAUUGUAAACACAAAUAAUCGAUUAUGGCCUGGCCGAUUAUUCGAUGCAUGUCCACGAUUCAAUGCAUUGACUAUUUGAUUAAUUUCAACACCUCUACUAUCAGUGCAAAUGU